rnacentral:rRNA from 1 species
GAUGAACGCUGGCGGCGUGCUUAACACAUGCAAGUCGAGCGAAGCACUAAAGCGGAUUUCUUCGGAUUGAAGGUUUAGUGACUGAGCGGCGGACGGGUGAGUAACGCGUGGGUAACCUGCCUCAUACAGGGGGAUAACAGUUGGAAACGGCUGCUAAUACCGCAUAAGCGCACAGUACCGCAUGGUACGGUGUGAAAAACUCCGGUGGUAUGAGAUGGACCCGCGUCUGAUUAGGUAGUUGGUGGGGUAACGGCCUACCAAGCCGACGAUCAGUAGCCGACCUGAGAGGGUGACCGGCCACAUUGGGACUGAGACACGGCCCAAACUCCUACGGGAGGCAGCAGUGGGGAAUAUUGCACAAUGGGGGAAACCCUGAUGCAGCGACGCCGCGUGAGCGAAGAAGUAUUUCGGUAUGUAAAGCUCUAUCAGCAGGGAAGAA